UACGAAGGGUGCAAGCGUUACUCGGAAUUACUGGGCGUAAAGCGUGCGUAGGUGGUUUGUUAAGUCUGAUGUGAAAGCCCUGGGCUCAACCUGGGAACGGCAUUGGAAACUGGCUUACUAGAGUGCGGUAGAGGGGUGUGGAAUUCCCGGUGUAGCAGUGAAAUGCGUAGAUAUCGGGAGGGACAUCUGUGGCGAAGGCGACACCCUGGACCAGCACUGACACUGAGGCACGAAAGCGUGGGGAGCAAACAGG
rnacentral:rRNA from 1 species